AAACUAUCAAGCUGGUGGUGGCGGUAACGGUGACGGUCCGACGAGACAUUUAUACAAAAUCACAUUUCCUUAAAAAAACUAAAACUACUGAAAAAAAUUAUAGUUUGCAGGUAAUAUUUAUGUUGAUAUGAUCGUGAUAUUUUUCUACACGCCCUUCGCUUCCGGUCCCCAGCCCCUCUAUUGGGAAGAUCAAGGAUAGGCGAGAUGGCGUACCAAGGAGGAGGUAACCUGAAGUCGACCUUCAUUGAUAGAGUGAAGAUGUAUACGGUGGUGGGACCGCUUGCUAGCCACAUGGCUACCACCGAAUAAGCUUAGACCUCUUCGCAAAGGCAAAAGUACU
rnacentral:lncRNA from 1 species